GGCUGACACUCGGAUGCUGUGAUUGGCUGAGACUGCACUUGCUGUCCUGAGAGCAUGCGCAGUUCUCACUCUGCGGUCUGGCUCGCCCUAGGUAGGGGUUCUCUGGGCCCACCUGAAGGUUGAGCUUUCCCUCUCGCUCCGUGAAUGGGGACAUCCAGCUCUUGCCCUCGAACACCGGAGCUCCUGGCUCUUGGAACUUUGAACCCGGGCUGAAUGACUCCCUGGGCUUCCCCAGCUCUCCAGCUUGCAGAGGGGCCUCCCUGGCCUCCAGGGUGAUGUGGACUCGCUCCCAUCACCACCGCCUCAGAUCUCUAAUUUUAAAGGAGGAGGCAUUAGAGACAGCUGAAACCUUAGCAUCCACCCUUCUUCCUCACCCUCCAUGGGUCAUGAAGUGUGAUGGGUCCCCGGACAGGUGUGUGUCUGCUGCUUGAACUUGGAAGAUCAGGCAGUGAGGGAAGACCGUGGUGCCCAGCUAAGGAGCAGGGCUGAGCAUGGAGGAGAUACUUCCCAGCAUGCUGCCUUCUCAUUGGCUGUGACGGGAACAGGUGUGGGAAAGAAGAGAUCAUCUCAUGGGUUUCAGUUAAGGAUAAAACCUUGUAAAAAUAUUAAAAAUAAAGACCAAAAAUACAUUUGACA
rnacentral:lncRNA from 13 species